GUAUGUAAGUGCCUACUAUGUGCCAGGCAUGCUGCAUUAUUUAACUUUGUCAUACAAAAAGACUCGUGAGGUAGGUUUCAUAGAAGAGGAAACUGAAGCAUAAGAGGUGUAAGCAAAGCUCAUGUCACUAGUGACUGAGUCAGAAUUUGAAUCUAAAUAUGUCUGCCUAAAAUAUUCUUGUCUUUUCACAAAAUCCAGUGGCCAGACUACUUCAGUCUGCCCAUGAUUCUCACUUUGGGGUCAGGUGGACCCCCUAAUAGCCAUAGCAAAGGUAAGUUUCUUGAUUAGAUUCCAAAAAAUACACAGAUGCUAAUAAAAAACAAACAAACAAACAAAUAAAAAAAACACACACAAAGAAAACCUUUUUUAUAAAAGAAGGAAAUGCAGCUAAACUCCGUGUGACAGGUUUAGUCCAAGCCAAUUGUGGUGACCCCAUUCCCUCUGCCAGUGAUAGAUUUGAUAAUGGGCACAUGACCUAAUUCUGGCAAAUAAAUUUUGAGAAGAUUUCUUUUGAGAAAAAGAAACAGGGCAGGAAUUCUGGGAAACAAUUCUUCAUGAUGAAGAGUACCAAUAAGUAAUGAUCCUUCUUCUUCCUCUUCACUUUUUUGUCUGGGCAUAACACCUGGAACUGCUACAAAGUCCUUGUUCCUGGGUUGAACAUGAAGUUAGCACAAAGAAUGUCAAUGUGGAGGCAUCAUACAAAUAUGAGUCAUUAAAGAUCUGUCACAUUAUCCUACCUCUGGACUUGAUGUUAUAGAAGAUAAUGAAUUUCCUUAUUGGUUCAGUCUAUUUUGAGUAAGGUCAUCUGUUACUUGCUGCUAAAGGCAUUCUAUCUGACUUCAAGAGGAUCUUUAGUAGCCUAAGACUCUUAACUCUAUCUAUCAUUGCAUUACACUUAUUAAGUGUGUAAGGAUUUUUACCACAUUUCUACAUCUAUCAUCUAAAGAGAAAUGCAUAACUUACCCCUGAUGGUUUUUGGACAAACUUCAUUAUUCCAUUUAAGUAACGGAAAUCUGAAAAUUACAAAAACUAAGUAACUUGAAGAAAGUGGCUUGAAUAAGUAUCUGUGUCAGAAUUUCAACAACAGUACCCUGGCACCAGGGUGCACGUUUUCAUGUGAAUUCACAUAUAAACUCACGUUUGGAUUCUGCCAUAUGGUAGCCUCAAUACUUUUAUGUUCACCAUUCCACUUGAUUUUUGACAUCAAAUCUAUCACUUUGCAAAUGCUGUUUUAUUAUGUCCACUCUUUAAUAUACUGUAGUCCAAGAAGGCAUGUGAGCUUUUCAAGGUGACAUAGCAAGGAAAGAGAAAUGGGCAAGACCCACUGUUCUGGAAUCAAUGUUUUUGAUGUCCUCCUGGAUUCAUUUGUUGAAACUUUGCCCAUCCAUGUGAUGCUAUUAGGGAGUUGGAUUUUGGGAGGUAAUUAGGAUUAGUUGAGAUCAUGAAGGUGGAGUCUUCAUGAAUGGGAUUAGUCUUAUAAGAGUCAGAAUUGAGCUUGCUUCCCUCUCUCUGCUGUCAGACUAGUGAGAAUCCAAUGAGAAAGCUACAGUCUGCAUCUGGAAGAGGACCCUCACUAGAACCUGAGCGGGCUGGAACCCUGAUGUUGGACAUCCAGCCUCCAAAACUUGAAGAGCACCACCAUUCCAGAGUUGCUGAAAUGAAGCAGCCAAGGCCCAGCUUAGAUGUCCCAAUUGAUGAUGGAUGAGAGUGUUAAACCUCCAUCCUGCACAGGAUGGAACACCAGGAGCCCCAAAUCUACGUAUGAGAAAGCUGUGAUUUCAGAGAGGAGCAGUAGCUUAUCAAAGGCCGUGCAAGUCAAUUUGUGACAAAGUGUAAACCAGACAAAAGGUUAUCACAAGGCUCAUAUCAUGGCCAGCUGAAUGACUGAAAACCUGGAUAUAUACUCUAUAAACAAUGUCAUGGUGCUGUGGCGCAAAGAAAGUUGAAUUGCAGAAAAAAAGAAGAGUGUGAUGGUAACUCUAAGCCAAAGGCAGAGGAAGAGAAAAAAAAAAGUUUAAAGAAGCACUUACUGUAGCAGUCUGGAUAGGCUAGGAUACACAAUGGAAAACUAAAUCUCAAGACCUCAAAAUAACAAGAGUAAAUGCCGUUUUGUCAAUGAAAGAGGGAUGCUUGCGAUGAUGUGAAGGAUGUCUGAGAAGAGGUGUAUUUCUGAAGGAAAGAAAGAACACAGCAUACUCCUUGGAUAAAUCUCAUUUUCUUCCUUGUUAAGCCUUUUUUUCCCAUUGCAUUCUCUACAAACCCCUGGCCCACUCUUUCCUCCUCUUUCUACUUCCUUCCUUUCUCACCUGUACCCCAAACUAUAUUUGUAAACUCUUGCAGUGUUACUUUUGCACAGGGCUUGAAAUAUUUAACACCUUUGUUUUUAAUACAUGAGAAAAAUAAGAUCUAUAGGAAAGGAAACAACUUAACCAGUUUGAACAGGUAAUUGAUAGACUACAGUCCUCUCUCAAAUGUUUACUAAUGACACAUAUGCAUGGAGAUGGGAAUGUAUACAUACACACACACACAUACACACACACACAAACACACGUAUUGACUGGUUGAAACAUGACAGUUCUCCAGUACCUGGGAAUUAAAGGAGGGUGCAUUAGCCAUCCCUACCUUUACCUCAAUAUCCAUUUUAGGAAGGAUUAGAAAUUAAUUUACAUGAUUGAACAUACCAAGGGCUUUGAAAGCAGAAAAAUAUGAAAUUCAGAUUUUUCACUUCUUCAUCCUGGAGGUUCAGUUUUCCCAACACUAAAAUGAGGAUAGUAACACCAAACAUGGGAAUUGUUGAAGUGAUCAGUGAAAUAGAUGCUGUAUUAUAGGCCUAGCUCAGUUUAUGCUCUUAUCUUAAGAUUCUCUCUCUGGAAACCAAACCACCCCUGGAAUGGGCUCUGGUGGUCCUUACAUGAACAUAAGGCAUGCAUAACCCCUUUGAUAUUGUGAGUGUUUCUCUGCAUAUGAGCAUUCUUUUCUUCAGGGAAAAGUUCCUAACUUUUAUUAGAUUCUCAAAGUUGUCUGUAUUUCCUAUUAUUUUAAGAAAACUGACUUAAAUAGAAGGUGUAAUUGCGAAUGUUAACAAUAAUAAUUACAAACACCAUAACAUUACUAAUAUUUCACUACAAACAAAUAAUAAUAGUAUUAUUAUUAAUAUUCAAUUAUCUGAACAUGAGCCAAAAUUGGUGGAUGAAUCACAUUUAAAUCAUCGGGUGCUUUGCUUUCACCAGGUAAAAAGUUCCAAUUUCUUCUUAUUACAUUAAAUCUUAAGAACCUAUUUCACUCUUAUCCACAAAAAGGAACUCAUUUCCCCUAGAAAGGCAGGCUAAUGAGGUCUGCUUAAUUUAUAGCUGGGUCCAUUUAUGUGGUGGUUUCAUUAACAAAGACAUCUAUUUAAUUCAAUAGAUUCCUACACGUGGUACACAUAGAAGACACUACUACCCCCAUUCACUCCCCAUCCAUUCAUUACCCUAAUGCUUCUGACACACACAAACAAACCUUGUUUUACAAAUUGCUUAGAGAUUUGAUUAUUGCAUCAUGCAUUUUGUUGUAACAAGAAAGGUGAUUUAAAAUCAUUAGUCCUAAAAUUUAGUCCUGUGUGUGCUUUGAAGUCAAGGGGAACAAUUUGUCAGCUGGUUGAUCUUUUGCUUCUAAAGCUAGUUAACUGAUCAAUCUAAUGUCAAAGGAACAGAGAUAAAUGGGAGACAUUUUACUAUGUAGAAAACGGUACAUGAAGAUAAAUCCAACACUGUGCUUUAUUUCAUCUGCAGUUAUCUUUGUAGUAAUUGCUUUGGAAGACUCAAGGUGCUCUUUGCACAUAGGGAGUGUUAGAAGCCUUUAAAUCAUCUGCAUAGACUAGUAGCUUCUUGCUGCGAAUCUUGCUUUGCUCCAUUUUUGGGUAGAGAGGACAAUAAUCUCCUACUAUAAAUGCAAAUUUGGCAAGGACCAAAGGUUGGGAUUCUUGACUAGUUGUUUAUUGAACAAUCAAUUCAUACAUUUCUGAAAUUUCUUGACAUGCUUGCAAAGUAGAUCCAUUCCUUAUUGAAUUCAUUUGAUUUUCACUAUGACCAUAAUGAUUAAACUAGUUCUGGAGUAAACGUUUCCUAAUGAACAGAUUUGGAUGUACCAGCUGUUCCAGUUAUCUCUGUACAAAACAACCCCCCCAACUAUCUGGCUUAAAACAAAAGACAUAUAUUUCAUAAUUUUGUAAAUCAAAAAUUGAAAUUGAGUGACAACAGCAAAGGAAACUUAAAAAUAUUUAGCCAUCAAUGAACUGUAGGGUCCAAUAUACCUUCAUUUACAUGUCUGGUACCUUGGAUGCAGGGAAUGAUUGGAAGGCUUGUCUAGUAGACUCAGCUGUGACUGCCAAUCAGAGUACCUCCAUUUGGCUUCUCCAACAAGAAGUAUCAGAUAAACUUCUUACUUGACAUCUCAGGGCUCUCAGAGAGUUCUAAAAGGCCAUACUGGAAGCUGCAACAGUUCUUAUCAGAGUAUCAGUUGCUACUAGGUCAAUUUAUGGACAAAUCACUCAGGUCAUCUCAGACUCAAGGUAAGAGAAACUAGACUCUACCUCAUAGAGAAGAGAAAAACACGGUAUCCAUAUCCUUCUUUAAUCUACCACUCCAGAACAUUUUGAUUCUAUACAAGACCCAUUAUCAAAUCAUUCUGCUGCCAUCACCUCAAGGUUUUAUAUGUUUUAGAAUGUUCAGCAAGACAGAUCAUGGUCAGGGUAAAAGAGCAGUAAUUGGUUAAGUAGCUAUUAUUCUGACAAGCUACAAAAGGGACUUGCAUUUUCUUAACUCUCAGAAAUUUUUUGUAUUUUUAGUAGAGACGGGGUUUCACCGAGAAACAUCUUCUUACUGAAAGUUAUGUGAACACCCAUUAGAAACCAGGGAGAGAGAUUUCAUUUCUUCCAGAGUAGGUUCAAUGCCUAGUUUUACCCUAUCAGAAUUUUGUCCGGGGCACUUAUCCAGUGACAAUUUUUUUUUCAUAAGAGCUAUUUUUCGUAAGACUGCCCAAAAUCUUAGGAAUGAUCCAAUUUUCCAGUAAUGACUAAUAUAUUAAGAUGCAUAUGAAGGCUCCUCUUUCAUUAUGAUAGUCACCCUCUCACCAUUGCCUACCGAAUACUGUCUCAACUCAUCGAACUGCCUGACUUUUCACAACGAAGCCUUUAAAGUUUAUUCAAAACUUCUCUCCUCACAUUCACCCUGUCCACCAGCGAGACCACCCCUCCCAUUGUCUCCAGAAUAAAUAUGGUGUUCCCACCUCUGGGAAAGUUAACAAUGACAAUUAUAUCAAUUGCUAAUAUUUGUUGAACACUUACAUCACUUGUUUGCUCUUUAGGCUACGUUGAUUGAUGUGAAUUGCAAUGGACACUCCGAUGCCGUUGGGAAGCACUUCUUGUCUGUUGUACUCAACACAAAGAACUGUCCACUCUUGAUAUUUUUUUUGUAAAAGCCUGUAUCAUGUCUUCCCAGACAAAUGUUCCAGGAAAGUAUGAGAUUUUGUCUCGUACUACUUGUUUUCACACACAAUGUCUCACACAGAGCAGGCACUCCACAAAUAAAUUACUAGUCCAGCAACCCUUUAUUACACAACUGUUACAUACUCCAUGCAAACAAGGAAAGCAAGUUAGAACAAAUGAAACACAACUUCAGGAAUAGUUUGUUGUUCAUUUGAAUUUGCUGAUAUUUUUAUGUUUGACUUUAGAGGAAUUUGAAUGAUUUAGGUCGGAAUUGCAUUUCUACAGCUGGCUGGCAGGACAACUUUGAACAGUCUACAGAGCUCCUAUUUUCCUCUCUCUGAAGUGAGGGUAACAACUGGUAAAAGUGUUGUAUGUCUAAAAUCACAAAAGUGAUGUAAAGCUUUACUUUUCAAAUUUUCUUGUGCUUAAAAAUCAUCUGGAAUCUUGUAAAAAGGGCUGUGGUCUAAAAGAAAGAGCCUGAGAUUCUGCAUUUCAGACAAGCUCCCAGAGAAGGUAAAUGAUGGCCCAUCGGCUACAGCUUGAGUAGCAAUGCUAUAAAGCACCUAAUAUUAAUACUCACUCUGAAAUGUUGUCCUCCCCUUCCUCCCUCCAUCUUCCUAUUUGAAAAUUCCAGGAGACAGAAAUGGAUUUUUAUUUACUCCAAACGUCCAGUCUGAUGGUCUCUCAAUUGUGUUCCUCGUUUAAAAUAGUGCGGCUCCUGCACUUUGUUUAACUCUGCUUGACAAUCAGUGAUUUGUGAUUCUGCUCUUUCCUGAGCAUGUUUAUAAAAUGACGACCUUGGGAUUGGAGUCUCUGCUGCCCAAAUGCAGGGAGCAGACUUUCUAUGGAAGAAUUGUGAAAGGUCAUUUUACCACUGUUUUUUUCUUUCUUCUUGUCUUUCUUUUUGUUUUUUUGCCUUGGCUUCAUAUGCUAAUGGAAUCAACAUCCCCAUUUGCUAUUUUAAUGUUUCUUAGAAAGCUUUAUCUCAGAAUUUCCUAUGGUUUGUAUGUGCAUUAGUCUUCUAGGUGAAUCAGAGGUUUCCUGCUAUAACACCAUGAGGUUUCUCAAUAGACCCUCUUGGCUCCUUGUUGAGUCUUUUGAAUGACUUUAUUAUAAUAAAGUUGACUUGGAGCCAGAGGAGGCAGAGCUCCAGUGUUGGGCUUUCUGUAGAAUUUUAUGGGUUUUUCUCAGAAGUUUAAUGCCAGUUUAAUGGAGUUUUAUAACUAUUAAUACUCUACCACUCCAGCUGCGCUAAGAAAUAUGUAACUAAACAAUAACUUGAAAUAGGUAAAUUCAUGAUUAAGUUGCACUAAAAACUAAUGCCUCUUGGCCAUAGUUCAUAAUUUCCAAAGGCACAUCAUUUAGAAUGAUUGGUAACUUUAGCCUUGUAACUCUUUCAAGGAGAAAGGCUGUGAGCUUAAAUCACUACAUUAAGCUGACAGUGAGGCUCAUAUUUUCUGAGCUAAAGAUAUAUUUUUAUGGCCACACAGUGGACUCUGUUUAUCACUCAUCAUAAACCAUAGGAAACCAUUUUUGUUUUAAAUUAGGUGCUUAGGCUUUUGUCCUGUAAUCUGUUUCUUUAUUUCCCCUUUUCACUUUUGUUGGUCCAUUUUCAACAACUCCCAAUCGUCUUCCGUUUCCUGAAAACAGCUCAUAUUUUAUAUCUCAGCUUCUUUAAAGGUAUUUCAUCCUAGUUGAGGUCACCUUAAUUUACACCUCAAAUUACAGUUCCAGAGCCAACUUCUUUGCUGCUGAUAUUGAGUAGUAAUCCUACUAAAGAGUCCAAUUUUAAAAUGAGGAACAGUCUUAUCCUACAAUGCCAGGCAUAAGAAGCCCAUGAAUUUUGCAUAUAUCUUUAGUACUUUAAUUUAUUGAAUUACAUUUCUCCACUUCUUUGAGCCACUUAGUCAAUUACACUUCAUUCUGCUGCCUCGUCUGGUUCUAGAAGCUGUCUGUUCACAAAGACCAUAACUAAGUCAGUUUUUCCCAGACGAGGCAACAGCCGCAAAUCAUCUGAAAGUGAAAUGACUGUGGAAUUUGAGGUUUAAUUGUUUUUAAGCCAUCUUGAUUAUGUUUAUUAAAAUAGAAGGUCUUGUCAAGUUAGACCUCUCUCUAUUUCUGUCUGUCUUUCUCCUCACCUCCCUCACUGACUUUUCAGCUCACUGAGGCCCAUCCUUUUAUUGCCUGAUUUUAUACAGUUGGAUGAGAAACACAUACUGGGCAGUGGCCACAGCCCCAUCAACUGAAAGGAAUAUGAUGGGAUCAGAAGUCCUCUUAAUGAAAAACUGUAUCUUUAAUUCCUGUGGAAUUUUAAAACAUGUGCAGUGCAAUCUAUAAAUGGCCAAAUAAAAAAAGAGCAAAUAAACAUAAGAUGUUACUGUGAUCUGGUAUAAAGCCUAUAUGGCAUAGCUGAGUUUCUACCCUGCCCUAACUCCACUUAUCUUGAAGAAAAAGGAUGCCUGUGAUCAAAAUUUUUCUUUGCAAACCAGACUAGCUGAAUUUCUACCCUGCUCUGACUCCACUUAUCUUGAAGAGAAAGGAUGCCUGUGAUCAAAAGUUUCCUUUGUAACCAGACCAGUUGAAACUGGUUAAAACCAAGAUAGCAGACCAAACGAUGUCAAAAGACUUUAGGCUUCAUUACGAUCUCAUUUCCAUGCUAAAUGACACUUCCAACAGUGCCAUGACAGUUGAUAUGUGCCAUGACAGCAACCAGAAUAAGCCAGAAAAGGACAAAAAGGAAGGCAGCACUCUGGUUCCAGGAAGUUCAUCACCUGUAUUAGUCUGUUUUCAUGCUGCUGAUAAAGACACACCAGAGACUGGGUAAUUUAUAAAGUAAAAGAGGUUUAAUGAACUUACAGUUCCAUGUGGCUGAGAAGGCUUCACAAUCAUGGUGGAGGGCGAGGGCGAAAGGCACUUCUUACAUGACAGCAGCUAGAUGGAGUUAAAGAGCCAAACAAAAGGGCUUUACCUUUAUAAACCCAUUACAGACUUAAUCACUACCAUGAGAACAGCAUGGGGAAAACUGCUCCCAUGAUUCAAUUAUCUCCCACUGGGUCCCUCCCACAACACGUGGGAAUUAUGGGAGCUACAAUUCAAGAUGAGAUUUGGGUGGGGACACAGCCAAACAAUAUCACCACCCAUUUCUGGAAAAAGACAUAGACAUUCUUCCUCUCAUGUUUAAUGUCCAACACCUUCAUCAGAAAACCCUAUAUUUUAACCCAUUCACUCCUCACUAGUCCAGGAGGAGUCAUGCUCCUGUUUCUCAGUUCCAUGGUGAUUGAGUAAAGCCUGCACUGCUUGACACUCACUUUCAGUUUUGUAUAUUGGCUUUCUGACACCAAACAGAGAGACCCCAUCCUUGGGGAGACCAGCUUUGUGGGUAACAGUUUAUCAUGUUUACAGUGAUUUUUUUUUUCGUAAUUUCUAGAACUGUUAAAAGAAAGCUUUAACACAAUAUCUUCUUACACAAUUGAAUAAGGAAAGUGGGCCUGCUCCUGAGCAUUGUAGGAGGUAAAACUCUAUGUUUUGCUCCUGAUUACUUUGGAGCUUUUUCUCACUCAGCUCUGUCUGCCUUUCUAUUGCCUUUAUUUGUUUACAUGCCUAACUUUAUCUUUCCA
rnacentral:lncRNA from 1 species